UCCAUUAAUCUUUUUGUGCUCACCAAUAAGAUACCACAAGAUGGUGCCAAAGAGUCUUUUUGUAUAUUUUGAGUUUCUGUCAUCCUCACCUGCUUGUUGGCCAGUACCAUUAGAGGCAGGCAGGGGUAGUCAUUGAGCAGCUUGUGCAGCUGUGCCUUGGCAACACCAAAGAGCUGCGGCA